UGAUGUUAUGAUGAUGGGCGAAAUGUUCAACUGCUCUGAAUGGGCUGAGUGAAAAUGGCCUUUCUGAACAUCC
ensembl:snoRNA SNORD6 small nucleolar RNA, C/D box 6